CUCAGACAUGCAAGUCGAACGAUUAAAGCUCUCUUCGGAGAGUGUAUAGAGUGGCGCACGGGUGAGUAACACGUAAGUAAUCUACCUCGGGGUGGGGAAUAACAGUCGGAAACGACUGCUAAUACCGCAUAAUGCAGCGGCUUCUUAUGAAGGCAGUUGUUAAAGCAUUUAUGUGCCUGGAGAGGAGCUUGCGGCAGAUUAGCUAGUUGGUAAGGUAAUGGCUUACCAAGGCAACGAUCUGUAGCCGACCUGAGAGGGUGGUCGGUCACACUGACACUGAAUAACGGGUCAGACUCCUACGGGAGGCAGCAGUCGGGAAUUUUGGGCAAUGGGCGAAAGCCUGACCCAGCAACGCCGCGUGAAGGAUGAAGUAUUUCGGUAUGUAAACUUCGUAAAAAUGGGAAGAAUAAAUGACGGUACCAUUUGUAAGGUCCGGCUAACUACGUGCCAGCAGCCGCGGUAAUACGUAGGGACCAAGCGUUGUUCGGAUUUACUGGGCGUAAAGGGCGCGUAGGCGGCGUGACAAGUCACUUGUGAAAUCUCCGGGCUUAACUCGGAACGGUCAAGUGAUACUGUUGUGCUAGAGUACAGAAGGGGCAAUCGGAAUUCUUGGUGUAGCGGUGAAAUGCGUAGAUAUCAAGAGGAACACCAGAGGCGAAGGCGGAUUGCUGGGCUGAUACUGACGCUGAGGCGCGAAAGCUAGGGUAGCAAACGGGAUUAGAUACCCCGGUAGUCCUAGCCCUAAACGAUGAAUACUUGGUGUCUGGAGUUUAAUUCUCUGGGUGCCGUCGCUAACGUUUUAAGUAUUCCGCCUGGGGAGUACGCACGCAAGUGUGAAACUCAAAGGAAUUGACGGGGACCCGCACUAGCGGUGGAGCAUGUGGUUUAAUUCGACGCAACGCGAAGAACCUUACCUGGACUAGAAUGUGAGGGAAGUUCGUCUAAUAGCGAACGUCCGGGCAACCGGACCCGAAACAAGAUGCUGCAUGGCUGUCGUCAGCUCGUGUC
rnacentral:rRNA from 1 species